CCAAAAUCAUAGAAAAUAUCAAUACCAUAUAAAAGCACCAAAAUGGAUUGUUGACCAAAAAAAAAAAAAUACAUAUCUUCACAAGGGAUUGGUGAGAUAAGAGACGCUGACCUGCUUUGAACUGGCUCUUUACCUAGAUCUACAAGAACUUAAACCAAAUCUCCAAGAACUUCACCCAGAUCUACAAGAACUUCACCCAGAUCUACAAGAUGAACACAUAUGUACAGAGAAACAAAAAAUGAAGAGAGAAAAAAAGAGAAAUUGAAAAACAGAGUUGCAAAGAAGGAGAUAUAGAGGGAGAGAGAGAAACAUAAAACCAAGAAGAAAAAAAUCAGAGUAACAGAAAAUCAGAAAAAGAGAGGGAAAAAAAAUGGAGACGAAUUGAGAGGAGAAAGAAUAAGAGAGAAAGAAGAAAAAAAAACUGAGGAAAAGAGGCAGAAGAGUUAAGAAAGAAAGAAGUAAAAAGAAGUUGAAGAACCUAGAGGGAAAGAGGCGGAAGAGAGAAGAAAGAAAGAAAAAGAGAGUUAAAAAAAUCUGAGAGGAAAAGAGAGAGUGCG
rnacentral:lncRNA from 1 species